AAGCCUGAGCCAGCCCUCCUGGCUGAAAUUGCACCUUCACGAUAAUGGGAAUGGGAGCAGUGUUUCAGCUUCAGUUUCUAUUUAUAAUAGUGACAUGAAAAAAAUACUGCUGGAUUUUCAGCAUCAGUCCGCAUAGAGAUACCUCUAAGAGUUCUCCCUGUGACAGCCCAACUCAUUCAUGACACCAUGGGAUAGUAAUAGAGCUUCUGAAACAGACACCCAAAGCAUUGGAGAGAAAAAUCGCUCUUCAUCUUAGUAAAAUUAUACUCAGUAAAAAAGAAGAACAUCUUAAAAAAACACUCAGAUUAGAUAUAAGAUUGAUCAUGUUGGCCAGAAAAUGUUCCCCUAAAAUAAACGUCUCUCUAAACACCCAAACUGCACAGCUACUCUCAGCAUGAGAAGCAUGAGCAUUAUGAAGAAAGGGGACAUAUUCUCAGCAAAAUUUUAUAAAGUUUCUCUUUUAUCUCUGUUGCUCUCUCGUCUCCUAGCCAUUAAAUGGAGGAUUUAUAUUGGAAUACAUCUGACAAUUUCCAACAGCUCCUUU
rnacentral:lncRNA from 10 species